ACUAAACUUAAAGGAAAAAAAAAAGCUGAGAAAUGCUUAAAAAGAGGUUCUGCCUAAAAGGUAGAAGAAGCCGGAAGUUUCGCUCAACUUUUGCCAAAAUGAAAUAAAGAGAAAAUUUCCCUCAUUCAGACGAGCACUCAGGCCAUGUGUAGCUAAAUUGCGCAAACGAAAAAAACGCUUUUGCUAAAUGCUGGCGAGCGAAAAACUUGUAAUUCAAUUUUGGCCAACUUUGCCCAAAUGCAAGCCAAAUGUAAUUAACACGCACACGGACACUCGCACAGGCGUUCGAAUCUGCUGCAAUGGAGUGGCAAAACGACUUGUACA
rnacentral:sRNA from 1 species